AUGAAUUUGAUACUGAGAUUUGUUGGAAGAGAGGUUUUAUUGGUGUUGUUCGUUCACGGUGCUCCGACAGAAAGAAUUGGUGUGCUGAUCUUGUUUCUCUCUUGCCUAGAUGUUCUUAUAUUUACUUUUUAUUUAUUUUAUAAAAAAAACUUGCCACGUGUCAUCAUAAAAAAUGGAGAAGUAAAAGGGUGGUGGUGUGGCCGUCUCACGUAA